GCUGCCAGCUUCCCACCAAAAAGGUCCCUCCUAGGUUUCCGCUGCAAUGAUUAACAAAGGCAAGGAACAAGACAUGUGUGAUGAUGUCCCCAGUGCCUUGCUGAAUAGAGUUCAAGGCUCAGAGAGCAUUGCCUGGGGAGAGAUGCUG